CCCUUAGAUGUCCUGGGCGGCCCGCGCGCUACAAUGUCAGCUACUGAAGGUUAAUGCUUUGAAUGAGAGCGCGCUCUCCUUUUAAUUGCUCGCAUGCUGGGAUAAAUGAAUGCAAUUUUGUUUUGAACGAGGAAUUCCUAGUAGCCAUGUUUCACUAGAAGAUGGCGAAUGCGUCCCUGCCCUUUGUACACACCGCCCGUCGCUCCUACCGAUGAGCGUUUUGGCGAAGACGGUUUGAGUAGCUGCGUAAUUUCGUGUUGUUGACUCCGGCAGUUUGAGCCUUCACGUUUAGAGGAAGGAGAAGUCGUAACA
rnacentral:rRNA from 1 species